CGUGCCAUAUGAUGAAAUAAUGUAAAGGAGGCCGUGAAAAACACUCCAGAAAGGUUUUCUUUGAAAAAAAAAUCAUCAUGAAUUUUGGCGCAAAAAAAACGCCAUAGUAUACUAUGUCGAAAAAAAUUUGCGAUUUUCCAACAUGUUGUAAAAACGAGCCAUAUGAUGAACGAAUGUAAAGGAGGCUGUGAAAAACACUCCAGAAAGGUUUUCUUUGAAAAAAAAAAUCAUCAUGAAUUUUGGCGCAAAAAAACGCCAUAGUAUACU
ensembl:lncRNA